rnacentral:lncRNA from 1 species
GCAGCGAGCUUGCGAAGGAGGCUACAGCACCAUGUCGAGUUGGGAAGGGCCCUGAUCAAUCCUGUGUGGAUCACCAUUGGAGGGCUUCUACUUUAGAGUCUAAUGAAGGUUUCAAAAUUAUUAGAUUAUGAUCUUCUCAUUGGUAUAUGACUUCUGGUCUCUUCUUGAUAUGUAUAUUUUGAUCAUUUAAUUGUAAUCAUCAAGGGGUUCCUAGGGCUUUUGUGUUCUGGUAGACUAGUUUAAAUGUUAAAUUUUUUUUUUAAUUAUUGAAUGCAUGUAAAAAUUUUUAAAAUUAUAUUGUGUUGCAUCAUCAAAAUUCAACAGUAGCAUCAGAG